GACGUAGGAUGCAAGCGUUGUCCGGAAUUAUUGGGCGUAAAGAGUUCGUAGGCGGUUUGUUAAGUCUGGUGUUAAAGACGGGAGCUCAACUCCCGCAUGGCAUUGGAUACUGGCAGACUAGAGUACGGUAGAGGUCUCGGGAAUUCCAGGUGUAGCGGUGAAAUGCGUAGAUAUCUGGAGGAACACCGGUGGCGAAGGCGGCAUCCUGGACCGGCAUUGACGCUGAGGAGCGAAAGCUAGGGGAGCAAACGGG
rnacentral:rRNA from 1 species